CUCAUAGAUUGUAAGCUCUUGUGGUCAGGUCCUCGCUCCUCAUAGAUUGUAAGCUCUUGUGAUCAGGUCCUCGCUCCUCAUAGAUUGUAAGCUCUUGUGACCAGGUCCUCUCUCCUCAUAGAUUGUAAGCUCUUGUGAUCAGGUCCUCUCUCCUCAUAGAUUGUAAG